UGGGAUGGAGCUGGAUCUUUCUCUUUCUCCUGUCAGGAACUGCAGGUAAGGGGCUCACCAGUUCCAAAUCUGAAGAAACGAAAUGGCUUGGGAUGUCACUGACAUCCACUCUGUCUUUCUCUUCACAGGUGUCCUCUCUGAGGUCCAGCUGCAACAGUCUGGACCUGAGCUGGUGAAGCCUGGGGCUUCAGUGAAGAUAUCCUGCAUGGCUUCUGGUUAUUCAUUCAGUGACUACUACAUGCACUGAGUGAAGCAGAGCCAUGGAAAGAGCCUUGAGUGGAUUGGAUAUAUUAACCCUAACAAUGGUUGUACUAGCUACAACCAGAAGUUCAAGGGCAAGGCCACAUUGACUGUAGACACAUCCUCCAGCACAGCGUACAUGGAGCUCCACAGCCUGACAUCUGAGGACUCUUCGGUCUAUUACUGUGCAAGACACAGUGUUGUAACCACAGCCUGAG